rnacentral:lncRNA from 1 species
UCACUCUUUUUAUUUCCUCUUGUUUUGCCCCGCCCGAAGCGGAGCACAGCGGAAGUGCAGGUUGUGGGCCGCUCUGGCCCUCCGGAGGACUCGUAGUCGUUGCCCGAGGCCCUUCGCGGCUCUCCUCGCCUCUGGUCGGCGGUGGGCGGGUCUGACGUGUGCAGUCUGCGGCGUCGUACCGCUCUGCUGUAGCUCUGGGUUAUUAGACCAUGGGACAGCAGGAUGUGUGGCGGCUCCUGUCGAGCAGGUUCCCAGUAUUUUACAUCAUCUGCAAGGACUAAAUGAUCUUGAUGAUAACUGAACAAGGACUUCAACACUAACUGAGAUGUGUAUACCCCCUCCUGUCCACCAGAUGGCAGUCUUGGAGACAAUAGAAAAGAGAUAUAUGUGAACUACAUUUGGAGAAUGAAUUCUCAAAUAAUGGAGUUGCCGUGGUCAUGGUGUCUCUUCAGAAUAAAAGCCCUAUUAAGACACUUGCUAAAUGAAAGGUUACAUAAGGUACAAAUGCACUCUUCUAAACUUUACAGCUUAGUGAAACUUACACACUAUCCUGGAGCCAUUGAUUAGAUACACGUUUUUGGGUUGGGGAGAGGGGCUGUUGUGUUGCUUAGGUGGGCCUCUAACUCACUAUUCUCCUGCCUCCCCUCACAGUCCUAGGAUCACAGUUGUGCACCACCGUGCCUGCUAUCUUCAGGUGAUUUUCAACCCCGUUUUCUUCAUGUCCCCUCUCAGCUUAUCCAGCAUCUGCCAUUCUGAUAUCAGUUGUUAUUGGUCACUUUUACCAAGCUGUAUGUUAGCUGUUUCCCUAG